UGGACCACCACCACCAGUGUCGGGUGGUGGUGAGUGACGGAUAGACCAGAAUAGAGAGGCAGAGAGAGAGAGAGGGAGAAAGAUCGGAGAUGGAACACCGCCAACGCUCACGGCGGCGUCAGUAGAGGCGACGACGGUGGUUUGAUACUUCUUCGACGAGUUUCACGUGAUGAUGGUGGUGGUGGCCGACACCACUGCUGACCGGCGACGGAGUCGCCGGUGGCACCGGUAACAUCACAGCUCGAAGAUUUGGAGUUUGGUUCAAGAUUGAGUUUCGGUUCGAUCAAACGGCAGAUUUGGUGUGGGUUUUGUGAGGCUCGUGUUUCGGUUCGGUUCAACAUCAAGCUCGGGUUUCAGUUCGGGAGCCGGGUUUUUUUUUUGUUUUGGGUGAACAAGGUUUCAGGGUUGGGUUUCGGGCUUGAUAUCAGUUUUGGGGUUGGCUGGUUUUGGUCAAACAUCGGCUUCUGUUCAAGCUUCAGUCAACGCAAGUCAAGGUCGGGUCAACCUUGGUCAACGGCAGCUUCGGUUCGGGUCCGGCACGCUCAGAUUUAGUUUUAGCGCGGUUCGGUUCGACUCGGUCAAACCUAGUCAAUUCGGUCCAACUUAGUCAACUCAGUGAGUCAACUCAGCCGGUCAACUCAGUUGACUCGGUCAACUUCCCGACGAGAAGAUGGUUGCACUUUUCAAAGUUAUGGCACAGUUGGAAUAGGAGAAUCAUUGGAGAUUCGAGUACUUAGUGGCGUUCGAUUUCUAAAAGUCUUAGCUU
rnacentral:lncRNA from 1 species